rnacentral:rRNA from 1 species
GGGGGGGGGGGGGGGGGGGGGGGGGGCGGGCGGGGGGGAGGGGGGGGGGGGGGGGGGGGGGGGGGCGCGGGGGGCGGACGGGUGGGGAGCACGUGGGGAACCUGCCCGUGACUUGGGGAUAACGUCAGGACACGGGGGCUGAUACCGGAUAGGAACUCCGUCUGCAUGGUAGGGGGUGUAAAGUUUCGGCGGCUGGUGAUGGACUCUCUGCUUAUCAGCUUGUUGGUGGGGUAGUGGAUUUCCAAGGCUUUGACGGGUAGCCGGCCUGAGAGGGUGAACGGGCACAUUGGGACUGGGAGACGGACCAGACUCCUACGGGAGGGAGGAGGGGGGAAUAUUGCACAAUGGGCGGAAGCCUGAGGCAGCAACGCCGCGUGCGGGAUGACGGCCUUCGGGUUGGAAACCGCUUUCGCGUGUGACGAAGCGUGAGUGACGGUAAUGGGUAAAGAAGCACCGGCUAACUACGUG